CACAGUUUCAUCCUGUGACUACCCUGAGCACUUCUUCCUCCAGAUCACAGCUCCAGUCACCACAGUGACCACAAGGAGAGCCAGACCAGCAAUGAU